rnacentral:pre_miRNA from 13 species
AAAAAGAAGGGAACGGUUGCUGUUGAUGUAGUAUACCAUUUUGUUUAACAAUAUAUCACAGUGGCUGUUCUUUUUUGUUUA